CGGCCGUCUGAGGCGUUUACUGGUGACGGUCCCCGGGCGCUGAGGCUAUGAGCCCCCGGGAGGUGCUGGGCCAGGCGGCUCGGCUGGCCUCCUCUGGUCUCCUCCUGCAGGUGUUGUUUCGAUUGAUCACCUUUGUCUUAAAUGCAUUUAUUCUUCGCUUCCUGUCAAAGGAAAUCGUUGGCAUAGUGAAUGUCAGGCUAACACUGCUUUACUCUACCACCAUCUUCCUGGCCAGAGAGGCCUUCCGCAGAGCAUGUCUGAGUGGCAGCACCCAGCGGGACUGGAGCCAGACCCUCAACCUCCUGUGGCUAACAGUCCCUUUGGGUGUGUUUUGGUCCGUGUUCCUGGGGUGGGCCUGGCUACAGUUGCUCGCAGUGCCCGAUCCUGACGUCAUCCCCCACUAUGGAACUGGAGUGGUGUUGUUUGGGUUCUCGGCAGUGGUGGAACUUCUGGGAGAGCCCUUCUGGGUCUUGGCACAAGCACAUAUGUUUGUCAAGCUUAAGGUGAUUGCUGAGAGCCUGUCAGUAAUCCUCAAGAGCGUCCUGACAGCUUUUCUCGUGGUGUGUUUGCCUCACUGGGGACUGUAUAUUUUCUCUUUGGCCCAGCUUUUCUAUACUGCAGUUCUGGUGCUCUGCUAUGUUAUUUAUUUCACAAAGUUACUGGGCUCCCCAGAAUCAGCCAAGCAACAAGUUCUUCCUGUCUCCAGAAUGACAGAUCUGUUACCCACUAUUACGAGAAGUAGAGCUUUUGUAAAUUGGGAAGAGGCUAAAUUGACUUGGAGUUUCUUCAAACAGUCUUUCUUGAAACAGAUUUUGACAGAAGGCGAGCGAUAUGUGAUGACAUUUUUGAACGUGUUAAAUUUUGGGGAUCAGGGCGUGUAUGAUAUAGUGAAUAAUCUUGGCUCCCUUGUGGCCAGAUUAAUUUUCCAGCCAAUAGAAGAGAGUUUUUAUAUAUUCUUUGCUAAGGUGCUGGAGAGAGAAAAGGAUGCUACACUUCAGAAGCAGGAGGAUGUUGCUGUGGCCGCCGCGGUUUUGGAGUCCCUGCUAAAGCUGGCCCUGCUCACUGGCCUGACCAUCUCUGUUUUCGGCUUUGCCUAUUCUCAACUGGCUUUGGACAUCUAUGGAGGGGCCAUGCUUAGCUCAGGAUCAGGUCCUGUCCUGCUGCGUGCCUAUUGUCUUUACGUCCUCCUGCUUGCCAUCAAUGGAGUGACCGAAUGUUUCACAUUUGCUGCCAUGAGCAAAGAGGAGGUUGACAGGUACAAUUUCACAAUGCUGGGCCUCUCAUCUUCGUUCCUGCUGUUAUCCUAUCUCCUGACCCAUUGGUGUGGCAGCGUGGGCUUCAUCUUGGCCAAUUGCUUCAACAUGGGCAUUCGGAUCACACAGAGCCUUUGCUUCAUCCACCGCUACUACCGGAAGAGUCCCCACAAGCCCCUGGCCGGCCUGUUCCUGUCACCAGUCCUCCUCGGGGCAUUUGCCCUCAGUGGUGGCAUUACUGCUGUUUCCGAGGUGUUCCUCUGCUGUGAGCGGGGCUGGCCAGCCAUGCUGGUGCACGUCGCUGUGGGGGCCCUCUGUUUGGGAGUGACUCUUGGGACAGCAUUCCUCACAGAGACCAAGCUGAUCCACUUUCUUAGGACUCAGUUAGGUGUGUCCAGACUCACUGACAAAACGACGUGACCUCGCGGAAGCCCUGUGGCACCUGGACCAGCUGUGGGGCAGUUUUAUGGUGGAACAUGUUUUUUAUGCAGAAGAGCCAAGUUAGGGGUCUGUAGUGGAGUGAGACCAACACACAGGGCAUUAACACAACAGUUUUAUGAACAAACCAGAUUAGCACGGCGCAUUUUUAUGUUCUUGAGCUAGAGCUGAAGAUUCCUUUCUUCCUCAUGUGGCUUGUGAAAUCCCUAAGUGGCAUCUCUCCAAUGACAAGAGGAUGUUCUUGCAGCACUGCAGGUGAAGAGGAAACGAAAGAUCCUUCUCAGCCCAGCUUGCCCGGAGGAGCUUAGAAAGUGAGGACAUGGGUAACGGAGACUGCCGGAGGCCUUCUGACUCUUGGCCAACUCAGGUAGGCAAGCCUGGGGAAGCAAAGCCACAGCUUCCAGGGAGAGCCAGCAAAUGACCUCUUUCAGGCUCAGCCUGAGUGGCCCCCCCAGAGCAAGAGGGGAUGCUUCCAAAGCUUGUUAAAUGAUUUUCAGCAAUUUCAGAAAUUACCUCAACUGGUAGUUUAAAUUUCCCUGUAGCCUUAGAUUAAAGCAGAAAGAAAAAAGGUGACAGAAGAGAAUGUGGCUUUGUCCAAGGAGGGCCAGCUGCUGUCGGCAGCUUCUGAAGAAAAUGGAAGGGUCUGCGUUGGUCCCGCCAUGUGGGUGGGCAGCCAUGGGCACUGGCUCCCCUGACCUCAGCUUUAGGCCUGGGCCAUGGUGGCUGUGAGGACACUGCCGAAACUCCCCCCGCCGCCAGCCUCGAUCUCCAGUUUGCCAGUGUCCUCACCUUGAACCCACUCAUCAAAGCUCUUCUGAAACUUGUUGAGUUCUUCCUCCUCACCCUAAAAAACACAACAAAAACAACCAUUGCCUCUGCCAUCAGCCUCUCAGACUUAACCUCUAUAAACUUCUAUUUUGUUUGUUGUUUUUCCUUCUCUGGACUGGGAUAAAGGAUGCCAGGUUCAGACCAACCAGCUUUCCCCUUCCAGAAGCAGCUGGGAGGAAGAGAAAGGCCAGAACUUAGGGUGCCCAGAGGGCUCUGUCUUGAGUGCUACUAUUAAGGUGGGAUUUUCCUAAGAAGGGAAGCGUGUUCUGCCCACAGUUAGGACUCAAGGAGAGCAGGGAGACACCAGGCACGUCUGGGUCUGGCACCGCUCCUUGGGGGAGGAGUAAGGCUGUUGGCCUUUGGGGUCUGCGUGGUGGGGGUCCGUCAGGCCUGCCUCUUGCUCCUCCUCCUCCUCCUGCUCUCUUCAAAAGCCUGUGACCUGGGUGUGCCACAGAGCCCGGUGCUCCAGGCCUCCCCACUCCCAUCAGCUUCUGUGGGCCUCUCCCCCAACUCUGCAAGCUUUCUGGUUGUCUUCGCAGCUGGGAGAUGAUGUUUUGGCUCCAGGGACCAGCUGUUGAUACAGAUAAUCAACAGAGCCAGGGAGCCUGAAAAUCACGCUCUAAUUCCAGGCCUGCCGCUGUCUGUUCAUAAGAUCCUCUUCUCCAUCUACAAAAGGUUCUAAUCCCUACUCAACUGUUGCUCUAGGACCAUGGUGGGGGCCAAGAAAAAGUCACCAUGCAGCACUAUUUGGGGCUGAGUGGAGAGUGGGAAAGCAGGUGGGCCUGUGUGCUCCGAGGCUGGAGCCUGGGCCUGCGUUCAGACAGGGGAGCUAGACCAGAGCAGAAAUCAUCACAGAGUCUAAAAUAUCUCCGGGUAUUGUUCUUCCUGGUAGCAAACGAUCUUAUCUCUGACAGCAUUAUGUAUUUUAGGUAUUUCUUAUAUUAACUUAUAAGUUGUAAAUUAUAAAGUAUCCUGGGCAGCCAGUGUCCGGUAGACAGUUAGAAACGCCCCAUCCUGUCCAUGGCCUCUUUUUACUUUGCAUGUGGUGCACACAUCUUGCCAUGUACACACUGCCCUCUACAUUGUUCUUUUUUACUAUACAGUGUACCAGUUAAGUUGUCCCCAGUUUUCCCUACAUUGUAAACCAUGUGGUAGAGAAUAUCUUGACACAGAGACCUGUUCUGCAUUUUGCCCACUGAUGGAGCCUGAGACCACUCUUGCUGUAUCAGAGCAGGGCCCUGCCUCUCGGCCCCAGCUUCACCCUAGAGGAAGCCCCGGGAUGGAAGGAAGCCUCUCCAGGUCACACUGUGUUAAUGACCAGCCAGCCUGGAGCCCAGUCCCAGGACCUGCUAGCCAGUGGGCCAUACCCCUCCUUUCACAUGAAAGAGGCUUUGCGCAAUGCCAGGCACCCAAGCCAUGCUCAGCGGUAACUGUGAGAUCAUGGCAGCCUGUCACUGGGUCAUUCAGCCGACUGUCUUUCCCACUGCAGAAGCCGGGAAACUCCUGGAGGAGCAGUGGACUUUGGUGCCUCUGGUGAGCACAAGCCAGCAACGAGGACCCGACCCUCCAGGCUCCACUGCCUCCUUGGCUGCAGGUGGAGUGUGUCUGGCACAGGGAACUGCUUCCCAAGGUGUCAGGCAAGUCAUUGAUACCCCAGGCCUCCCCCUGGAGAAUCUAACUAAUCAGCCUGGCUGGAUGGGGAACUUGGGAACUAAAGUUACCAGUAAACAGAAAGGAAUUGAAACCACCCUCUGCUCCUGCUCCUCCCACGGGGUGACGUGAUCUCCUCAGGGAAGUGGCUUUGGGCCUUAUUUCCCUGCCCAGAGGCAUAGGGUGCAGCCGGUUAGGCUCGAGGCCUUAUUUGUGCAGCCUUCCUGGGUGCUUGGUGAGCCCCCGGCCCAUAGGUGGAGUCCAUGGUCUUGACAAGGUCACUCCAAGCUCUCAGAGCUGCAUGUGGAUCCCUGCUAGGCUGUCUCCCAACUCUGCCACCCUGGACGAGUUACUCUACCUCUCCAGCCUCAGCCUGCUUUCUAUCUAAACUCUACCUAUUUUUAUUUUCAGUUUUUCUUUUGAUCAAAAAAACACAUGUACAUAGUUUUAAAAGAUAACCCCCAAAGGGCAGGUUCUGCCCCCCUCCAAGCUUCCUUCUCCUUGGCCCAUUGUUUUAGUUCUUUUCAUCAUUCCUUCUUCUGUUUCCCUUCAUAUUUCUAAGUAAUUUGCUUAUAAUGCUAUUUCUUGAUUGUUUCUGCUUUAGAAUAUUGACCUCCUCGUAUGGAAAAAUGAGCUCUGAUGGCCACCUCCCUGCACACUUACCUUUCCAUCCUCCCAGUGUUAUGAUUUGGGGUAAAUUGAUAUUCAUGUUCACACGGUUAAAACUAUAGAAACAUUGUUCUCUGCUAAACCAAGUAGUAUCCUAUUUCCUUUCUACUACAAUCCUCAAGCUAUUAAUGGUCUCGUUAUUUCAUUUGCUUUUUAAAAAAUACUUUAUGCUGUCCCCUACAAAAUUAUAAAACUCUGAGCAAACACUAUAAAGCUCUUGGCAACAUGACUAACCUCAGCAAGUAUCACGGAGUCUGUGUUUUCCCUGGAGACUUUGCUCAGGGAGCCCCUCACCCCCCCUCCUCCACUCUCACGGUCCCAUCUGUGGGCCCCUCCCUUCCCCAGAGGGAAAAGGCUCAGAGAAGUUAAGGAACUUUGCCCAACAUCACAGCAGUAGUAAAUGGGGGCAGAGAUGUGGACCUAGCCCAGGAGAUAGAGUUACGGUCAAGAGCCACCACCCCCUCACUGGAGGAUGCUG